AAGUAACCAGCCUCUAGCACAGCUGUAUGGUCACUCAUCGCUGGAGCACCAUCAUUAUGACAUGUGCCUUCUCAUUCUCAACAACCCUAUAAGAUCCAUCUGUACAUCCAUCUAUCUGUCUGUCUGUUUAUCCAUAACAUCUACACAUCAAUCCAUCCAUAACAUGCAUCCAUUUAUCCAUCUAUCAAUGACAUUCAUCCAUCCAUCUUGUUGUCCAGUCAUCUAUCCAUCCAUAACAUCUAUCCAUUCAUAGCAACAUCCAUUCACCCAUCCAUCCAUAACAUCUAUUCAAAAUCCAUCAAUCAUGUUGUCCUGUCAUCCAUUGUCUCCUUAGAUUCCAUCCAUCCAUCUGUUUGUCCACCCAUCUAGGUAUCUAUCUGGCCCUCAUACAGUUAUGAAUCCAUGUCCAUGUACAACGGUUUCAUACCUCUCACCCUUCUUCUCUUUCAGGGCAGUCAGAUUCUCAGUUCGCUCUCAUUGAAGGAAUACAGGGCCUGUGCCGCAGAUGAUUGAGAAGAACAUUCUGACAACAGACCUUGCUAUCUAUAUAGAGAAGAGAACUAUGUUCUUUAAACUCGCUCAGAAUAACAGCUGUCUUUGGAAAGAUGAAGGACAUAGAGAACUGCUGAGGUCAAUGCUAAUGACAGCAAGCAACAUAUGUGCAAUAACCAAACCAUGACCUGUUCAGAAGUGGGUGAGCUUCUCCCACACACAUUUACAUGCAUGCAUGCAGGUACACCACAACCACAUGUGCAUGCAAGCACACACAUAGAAACACACACUUAUAUACGCACAUACACAAAUUUAUCUUUCUUUCACUUUACCUCGACAGCUUGCUGAACUUGUAGCAACAGGAUUUUAUGCACAAGGAGACAGAGAAAAGUGUGAAUUCAACAUUCAGCCAAAUGUAAGUCUAGAGUUAUGUGUUAACUUCCUCUACUUGUUUACUUUUUUACUUUUGUACAGGAAGACUCUAUAUUUAAGAGGGAGGGUGACAAAUGAUCUUUCACAAAAUGUUACAGGUGUGUCGUUUUAUCAGAAGUUUGAAUCAAAGGUUGAAUCUCUUUCUUAAAGGAUAUGAUGGACUAAAAACUCCAUACAUUUACCCCACAUGCAGGUUGAUUAUAUCAACGGGAUUCGCUCUCCACUCUGAGGCCCUGGCCAGCAUUUGUGAGUCCUGUUCCCCUUUAAAAGAAGGUUGCAGAAGGAACAGAAAACACUGGCAACAGCUGGUAGACAGCGGAGAGGAAGAAGAAAGGAUAAAUAUGAAAGGAAAAACAGAUGGAUAAAGGAAAGAAGCAAGUUAAAGCUAAACUCUUUUGGUGAGCCAUGCAUAGAGUGGACCAGCAAGACUCAAAGUUGUAUCUGAUAUUCAGAUUAUUACUAUGUAUGAUGAAAUGAAAUCCAUUAAGCAUUUCUCAUUCAUAAAAAUAUGAUUUUAACCCUCACUAUCUGGCUGCCUGUCAAGCCUAAAACAAAGAAAAAAGGAAAAACAUGAAGAAUUGAACUAAUCAGUUCAAUAAUAUGAAAGAGAUGCAAUUCAAUGCACAUUGUUGGUAAACCUAUAUCAAGACUUAUAUAGUUUAACACAGCCAGUCAUGUCCAUCUAUACUUGCCAUUCUUGAUUUUUAAAUGAGCCACUGACUUUAUGUUGGAAUUAUCACAAGUUACACAAGACUAAUUCCUGGUUGGCUUUGUCACACUUGUGAAACAUUACUAAAUCAUUUUAUAAUGAAUGCAUUUUGAAUUUUGUGAAUUAACAUCUUGUGUUAAUGAACUCAUCUUCUAUGAACUGAGAAAUCAAAAUUCCCUUGAUCUUUUGACGUAUAAAAGGUCAUUGUACUAUAAAAACAUUCUGUAAGUUUCAGAACUCAAAACGUUCUCGUUAGUCUCUCAUUAGUCUACAGCUACACCUAUUCAAACCCUGACAGCACA
ensembl:lncRNA